rnacentral:lncRNA from 1 species
ACAAUUUUGGCAUCAUUAUAUAAGCUCCUUCUGGUAGUUUAACAACUAUAAAUGCAAAUAUCUACACGCAUACAUUAUUUCUCAUAAACUUUUGCCACGUGGAAGCAUCAUAUAUAAGCUCUCCUUCUCAAAAUUUCUACUCUCCAAUCAUUACGACCACUCACCUUCCUCGUAAUGUCUGCCUCUUCGGCUUUCCGUCUUAUUAAUUUCUUCCUUAUAACGUCUGCGUCUUCGGCUUCCCGUCUCAUUAAUUCCUUUCCCAUAACAUCUGCCUCUUCGGCUUUCCGUCUUAUUAGUUUCUUUUCUAUAACGUCGCUUCUUCGACUUCCCACCUCAUUAGUUUCUAUUUUCUAAGAGGUGUU